GAUGAACGCUGGCGGCGUGCCUAAUACAUGCAGGUCGAGCGAAUGGAUUAAGAGCUUGCUCUUAUGAAGUUAGCGGCGGACGGGUGAGUAACACGUGGGUAACCUGCCCAUAAGACUGGGAUAACUCCGGGAAACCGGGGCUAAUACCGGAUAACAUUUUGAACCGCAUGGUUCGAAAUUGAAAGGCGGCUUCGGCUGUCACUUAUGGAUGGACCCGCGUCGCAUUAGCUAGUUGGUGAGGUAACGGCUCACCAAGGCAACGAUGCGUAGCCGACCUGAGAGGGUGAUCGGCCACACUGGGACUGAGACACGGGCCAGAAUCCUACGGGAGGCAGCAGUAGGGAAUCUUCCGCAAUGGACGAAAGUCUGACGGAGCAACGCCGCGUGAGUGAUGAAGGCUUUCGGGUCGUAAAACUCUGUUGUUAGGGAAGAACAAGUGCUAGUUGAAUAAGCUGGCACCUUGACGGUACCUAACCAGAAAGCCACGGCUAACUACGUGCCAGCCGCCGCGGUAA
rnacentral:rRNA from 1 species